rnacentral:ncRNA from 1 species
AAGGGGCGGCUUGUUGAGUCUGAGAUGUACCCUUCGAACCUGACCCGGAUAAUGCCGGCGUAGGAAUAGGACAUUUU